rnacentral:rRNA from 1 species
GAUGAACGCUAGCGACAGGCCUAACACAUGCAAGUCGAGGGGUAGCAGGAACUAGCAAUAGUUUGCUGACGACCGGCGCACGGGUGAGUAACACGUAUGCAACCUACCUACUACAGGGGGAUAGCCCGGAGAAAUCCGGAUUAAUACCGCAUAAAACAGGGAUUCCGCAUGGAAAUAUUUGUUAAAGAAAUUCGGUAGUAGAUGGGCAUGCGUUCCAUUAGCUAGUUGGUAAGGUAACGGCUCACCAAGGCAACGAUGGAUAGGGGAACUGAGAGGUUGAUCCCCCACACUGGUACUGAGACACGGACCAGACUCCUACGGGAGGCAGCAGUGAGGAAUAUUGGUCAAUGGUCGGGAGACUGAACCAGCCAAGUCGCGUGAAGGAAGACGGUUCUAUGGAUUGUAAACUUCUUUUGUACAGGAGUAAAACCUACCACGAGUGGUAGCUUGCAAGUACUGUACGAAUAAGCAUCGGCUAACUCCGUGCCAGCAGCCGCAGUAACAC